rnacentral:rRNA from 1 species
GACGAACGCUGGCGGCGUGCUUAACACAUGCAAGUCGAACGGAAAGGCCCUGCUUUUGUGGGGUGCUCGAGUGGCGAACGGGUGAGUAACACGUGUGUAACCUGCCCUUGACUUUGGGAUAACUUCAGGAAACUGGGGCUAAUACCGGAUAGGAGCUCCUGCUGCAUGGUGGGGGUUGGAAAGUUUCGGCUGUUGGGGAUGGACUCGCGGCUAAUCAGCUUGUUGGUGGGGUAGUUGCUUACCAAGGCUUUGGAGGGUAGCCGGCCUGAGUGGGGGACCGGCCACAUUGGGACUGAGAGAGGGACCAGACUCCUACGGGAGGCAGCAGGGGGGAAUAUUGCACAAUGGGCGGAAGCCUGAUGCAGCAACGCCGCGUGCGGGAUGACGGCCUUCGGGGUGUAAAACGCUGUCGCCUGUGACGAAGCGUGAGUGACGGUAAUGAGUAAAGAAGCACCGGCUAACUACGUG